AACUUAUCAAGAGUGGUGGAGGGACUGGCCCGAAGAAACCCAGCAACCGGUAAAUUUUAUAGAAUUACUUGGUGCUAAAUCCUGCAGCGUAAGAGCUGGUAGAUAAGGU
rnacentral:ncRNA from 25 species